rnacentral:rRNA from 1 species
GACGAACGCUGGCGGCGUGCUUAACACAUGCAAGUCGAACGGAAAGGCCCUGCUUUUGUGGGGUGCUCGAGUGGCGAACGGGUGAGUAACACGUGAGUAACCUGCCCUUGACUUUGGGAUAACUUCAGGAAACUGGGGCUAAUACCGGAUAGGAGCUCCUGCUGCAUGGUGGGGGUUGGAAAGUUUCGGCGGUGGGGGAUGGACUCGCGGCUUAUCAGCUGGUUGGUGGGGUAGUGGCUUACCAAGGUUUUGACGGGUAGCCGGCCUGAGAGGGUGACCGGCCACAUUGGGACUGAGAUACGGCUCAGACUCCUACGGGAGGCAGCAGUGGGGAAUAUUGCACAAUGGGCGGAAGCCUGAUGCAGCAACGCCGCGUGCGGGAUGACGGCCUUCGGGUUGUAAACCGCUUUCGCCUGUGACGAAGCGUGAGUGACGGUAAUGGGUAAAGAAGCACCGGCUAACUACGUG